CCUACGGGUGGCAGCGGUGGGGAAUAUUGGACAAUGGGCGAAAGCCUGAUCCAGCCAUGCCGCGUGUGUGAAGAAGGCCUUCGGGUUGUAAAGCACUUUCAGUGGGGAAGAAAGCCUUGGGGCUAAUACCCUCGAGGAAGGACAUCACCCACAGAAGAAGCACCGGCUAACUCCGUGCCAGCAGCCGCGGUAAUACGGAGGGUGCGAGCGUUAAUCGGAAUUACUGGGCGUAAAGCGCGCGUAGGCGGUCUGAUAAGCCGGUUGUGAAAGCCCCGGGCUCAACCUGGGAACGGCAUCCGGAACUGUCAGGCUAGAGUGCAGGAGAGGAAGGUAGAAUUCCCGGUGUAGCGGUGAAAUGCGUAGAGAUCGGGAGGAAUACCAGUGGCGAAGGCGGCCUUCUGGACUGACACUGACGCUGAGGUGCGAAAGCGUGGGUAGCAAACAGGAUUAGAUACCCCUGUAGUC
rnacentral:rRNA from 1 species